GCGGAAACGAAAUAAAAUGUUAAGUUUUACAUUUCUUACACAAUAGUUUAAAAGUAAUAAACAACAUUUCGAAAUUAAUUCUCUAAAAGAAACACGAAAAAUAAGAAAACCAAUGGAAAAUAGAAACAGCUACUCGCAAUUUUCUUGCAGAUCGGGUUCUGAAACUAGGUACUCUUGAUCUGGAAUGAGCUGCACUAACCCAGUAAGGAUAUCACACUAUAUCAUCGGCACAGAAGC
rnacentral:lncRNA from 1 species